rnacentral:rRNA from 1 species
UUGGAGGGCAAGUCUGGUGCCAGCAGCCGCGGUAAUUCCAGCUCCAAUAGCGUAUAUUAAAGUUGUUGCAGUUAAAAAGCUCGUAGUUGAAUUUCGGGAUCAAUAUUUCGGUCAUGCCGUUGGUAUGCACUGUUAUCAUUGAUUUCUCACCUUCUAAAGAACCGUAAUGCCAUUAAUUUGGUGUUACGGGGAAUUAGGACUGUUACCUUGAAAAAAUUAGAGUGUUUAAAGCAGGCUCACGCUUAAAUACAUUAGCAUGGAAUAAUGAAAUAGGACAUCCGAUUCUAUUUUGUUGGUUUCUAGGAUCGAUGUAAUGAUUAAUAGGGAUAGUUGGGGGCAUUAGUAUUCAAUUGUCAGAGGUGAAAUUCUUGGAUUUAUUGAAGACUAACUACUGCGAAAGCAUUUGCCAAGGAUGUUUUCAUUAAUCAAGAACGAAAGUUAGGGGAUCGAAGACGAUCAGAUACCGUCGUAGUCUUAACCAUAAACUAUGCCGACUAGGGAUCGGAUGAUGUUAAUUUUUUAAUGACUCAUUCGGCGCCUUACGGGAAAC